UUCUACAUGAACUUGAGCAAGACCCAUAUGUAGAAAAAGACACUAGCAACUAGGGGUUUUGCUCAAGACACUCGCACCUAAAUCUUGCUCAAGCACAUGUUACCUGGGUAUAGGCAGAAGAUAUCGUGA